rnacentral:sRNA from 2 species
GCGUUCUUCAAGCGAGCUUGGGAUAGUGGGAGCCAAGUAGGACAAGGUAAGAAACUGGCGCUUUCUGUCGUAUUUUAAAAAACAAUGAAGUAAUAAAUUAGGGUGGAACCGCGUUUCUGACG